UAGCAAGUCAGAAAAGGCAUGCGGCUGGGUUAACAGCAGACCGGCCCUACCUGGCUUCCAUGACAACAGCAUUAUAUUGGCAGCCCUGAGAACAAGAAGUCUGGAUGCUACCAUGUGUUUGGAAAGCUUCUCAGGAAGUUGGCCCAUGGCUAUCUAGCUGCCAGCCCCUGGGCCUCCUAAGAACUAAAUGUUUUCUUCCACAAGUCGUAAAAAUAAGCAAAGAAGAAAAUACCCUUUGGCCUGUGAGGAAAUGCUCUAAGCUUGUUUAUUCACGGACCUAUUGAAGGACAUCUUGGUUGCUUCCAAGUGUGGGCAGCUAUGAAUAAAGCUGCUAUGAACAUUCACCUGCAGGUUAAGGAACAUAUUGGAUGGAUUGCAUGGAAACCAACAUAUUCCAUCUCCUGAACUCGGAGACCCCCAGGUCCCUACCCCAGCUUCAGCAGAUGGACCUAAUUCUUCUAAACUAGUCAUAAAUAUGUCAUAGGAUAGAUUUGAGAGUUGGCUUGUAGCCUCACUCUAGAUAAUAAAUUAUUAAGGGAAAUUUUCUUAGAAGGUUUCCUUUCCCAAAUAAAAGUC